GGGUGAGGUGUGAGAGGACCGACUAGAGAGGAAAAUAAGUCUGGCGGCGACAUUCAUUACAGACUGUAGCAGGGCAAUACGGUUUUUGGGGAGACCAAUCAGAAGAGGGUUACAAUAAUCCUUAUGGGAAAUUACUAGUGCACGGACAAGCUCCUUGGUAGCAUCUUGUGUAAGAAAGUGGUGGAUGCGGGCUAUGUUUUUAAGUUGGUAUCUACAGGAUUUGGCAACGAAC